rnacentral:rRNA from 1 species
GACGUAGGGCGCGAGCGUUGUCCGGAUUUAUUGGGCGUAAAGAGCUCGUAGGCGGCUUGUCGCGUCGACUGUGAAAACCCGCGGCUCAACCGCGGGCCUGCAGCCGAUACGGGCAGGCUAGAGUACAGAAGGGGCAACUGGAAUUCUCGGUGUAGCGGUGAAAUGCGUAGAUAUCGAGAGGAACACCUGCGGCGAAGGCGGGUUGCUGGGCUGAUACUGACGCUGAGGCGCGAAAGCCAGGGGAGCGAACGGG